GUGGAGUCACAGGCGAGAGGGCUGCCAAGCCUGCGACGGCAGCUGGAGACAUUUUUCAGGAGACCUCGGGACAAUUUCUGGCCAUGUAUGUGGCAACAAGUGCAGGGAACUGCAGCCUUUUCAGACGCGAGACAAGUGCGAAGGAGGAAAAAAAAAAAGGUCAGACGUGUCAAAUUUGCACAAAUUCACACUUUCAGGCCGCAGGGGAGGAGCCGGGUGAACACGUUGACCUCACGGCCUCCCAACGCAUGUGACCAUCAAGAUUAAUGGCCGACAUCAACGUCAGCUCCCCCCGCAGGAAACAUUUCACAUCCACCUAUAUUGUGCGUGCGUGGAUCAGUGGCGAGCUACAACACUAUAACUCCAUUCAACAUCCCUUCAUUGACGGCAGGUUAUGGCGAUUAAGUGCUUCUUUAUCAGUUCUCCGGCUACAACAAAGGUCCAAAAUGGGAUUAAGCGGAGACGUGGAACGCUACCGCCGCUAAUACUACGGCCCUUUGAGAAUGUGCUGGCAAUGAGAGGAGCAUCGACGCCGCAGGGCAGGAUUACCGAACAAAGAGAUGGAGGGAUAUGCAAGGAGGUGUGGGAGCCCUCCUCCACCACCUCCUUUCAUCUUAACCUCUUAAAUGCUUCCCGUACCAUCAGAUUCUGCAGCCCUCGCUCGUUUUUCCAUCCCUCACGUCCGCCGCGCCGCUGUUGUUGUUGUUGUUUUGUCUCCAGAUGAGUAAGUGCCGAGGGCCAACAGCAGACAUGGUUGGCUUGAGCGGCGAGAGCAGGGAGAGGGACAUCCAUUCAUCAAGAGGAAGUGAAGUGCAAUCGAGGCGGCGAGUGUAAGGUAGAUAAAUGGCUAAUAACCCCGAGGAAUGAGAUGAUUCAUCACUUCCUAAAAUUAAGUUCAUUAAAGGACCAUUUGAGCAGAUACAUCAGUGUCUCCCGCUCGUGGUGUUUACAGCAGACGCGCCGCUGAUCCAGGAACACGAGAUGUUCUGCCAGUUGGUUCCUCACGUGAAAUAAAAUCAGUGUAUGGAAGCAAAAAUCCAGUGUUGCACUUUGUCCUCUUAAAGAUAUUUCAGACUCCGCCUCAUUUCAAGGUGAAAUUUAUUACUUUUUACUGCACCACAUUUAUUUAUUUAUUAAUAUUUUUUUUUAUCUCUUCUUACAUGGAGAGAGCAUUGUUACUUGCAGUGAUGGAAUGUAUCUAAGUUCAUUUACUCAUGUAAUGUACCGUACUGUACUGAAGUCCAAUGUUGAGGCACUCGUAUUUUAGCACGUCCUUUUUAAGAUACUUUAUACUCAACUGAGGAGGAAAUGUAAAGUUACUUGUUACUUUAGUGGAAUGUCCUAUUUUAAGUUACUUGUACUCAACAUGAGUAUUUCCAUUUUCUGCUACUCGAUACUUCCGUAGUACUUGACAACAUU